GGGCAGUUAGCUCAGCUUGGUUAGAGCACCUGCCUUACACGCAGGGGGUCACUGGUUCGAGUCCAGUACUGCCCACCA
rnacentral:tRNA from 1 species